UAAGACUUGCACUGAAGAUUUUGUCAUGAUGAAAAACCAUUUUGUAGAAUAUAUCAAUGGGUAGAUCUCCAUUUGGAUCUGCGUAUUUUAGAGUUGUCAUUGGAGUGUACAAGGUGUUGGUCUGAUGGCGAAAAGGAAUCUCAUCCUGUGUUCCUUUCUGAUGAAUUUCUACAUGCUCUCUUUGAGCCCUUGACCUUUUUUAUCUUGAUCUCUAGAAAGGACUCCUAUCCUUUUAAAAGGAAAAACAUUACAGCUAAGGCCAGUCCAAUUCCUGAGGAGCAACCUGUAAUGAGGACAUUUCUUUUUGCCAUCCUUUCCACUGUGUGGUUCAAGCAAGAGUUCUUGCUCAGAGGCACAACAAUCUAAAUGCAGCUACAGUAUAACGGCACUGGCCUUUAAUGCUAUCUGCAGCUUUCCUGAGUCAACAAAUCCCAAAAUGCACACCUGGACCCUGCAUGAUUAAGGGAUAAUCUCCAACUAGACAAAAACAGAAACAGAUGCUCCUGCAUGAGCUUAUAAUCUGGCAUUACCAAUAUGGACCAUAUUUAAUAUAAAACUUGAUUAGUCUUUGAAAUGAGACGUUUGUAAACUACGUAAGAUUUUUUAAAUGGUAAAAUAAUCAUUUUGCACAUUACUGGAAAAAAAAGCUUUGCCACAAU